UUGGAGGGCAAGUCUGGUGCCAGCAGCCGAGGUAAUUCCAGCUCCAAUAGCGUAUAUUAAAGUUGUUGCAGUUAAAAAGCUCGUAGUUGAAUUUCGGGAUCAGUACGCCGGUCGUGCCUUCGGUAUGCACUGGUGUCACUGGUUUCUCCCUUCUGAAGAACCAUCAUGCCAUUAAGUUGGUGUGGCGGGGAAUCAGGACUGUUACUUUGAAAAAAUUAGAGUGUUUAAAGCAGGCUCGCGCUUGAAUACAUUAGCAUGGAAUAAUGAAAUAGGACGUUUGACCCUAUUUUGUUGGUUUCUAGGAUCGACGUAAUGAUUAAUAGGGAUAGUUGGGGGCAUUAGUAUUCAAUUGUCAGAGGUGAAAUUCUUGGAUUUAUUGAAGACUAACUACUGCGAAAGCAUUUGCCAAGGAUGUUUUCAUUAAUCAAGAACGAAAGUUAGGGGAUCGAAGACGAUCAGAUACCGUCGUAGUCUUAACCAUAAACUAUGCCGACUAGGGAUCGGAUGAUGUUAAUUUUUUAAUGACUCAUUCGGCACCUUACGGGAAAC
rnacentral:rRNA from 1 species